CCUACGGGGGGCAGCAGUGGGGAAUAUUGGACAAUGGGGGGAACCCUGAUCCAGCCAUGCCGCGUGUGUGAAGAAGGCCCUCGGGUUGUAAAGCACUUUCAGUGAGGAAGAACGCCUGGUGGUUAAUACCCAUCAGGAAAGACAUCACUCACAGAAGAAGCACCGGCUAACUCCGUGCCAGCAGCCGCGGUAAUACGGAGGGUGCGAGCGUUAAUCGGAAUUACUGGGCGUAAAGCGCGCGUAGGUGGCUUGAUAAGCCGGUUGUGAAAGCCCCGGGCUCAACCUGGGAACGGCAUCCGGAACUGUCAAGCUAGAGUGCAGGAGAGGAAGGUAGAAUUCCCGGUGUAGCGGUGAAAUGCGUAGAGAUCGGGAGGAAUACCAGUGGCGAAGGUGGCCUUCUGGACUGACACUGACACUGAGGUGCGAAAGCGUGGGUAGCAAACAGGAUUAGAUACCCGAGUAGUC
rnacentral:rRNA from 1 species